rnacentral:rRNA from 1 species
UGGGGAAUAUUGGACAAUGGGGGCAACCCUGAUCCAGCCAUGCCGCGUGAGUGAUGAAGGCCUUCGGGUUGUAAAGCUCUUUUGGCGGGGACGAUGAUGACGGUACCCGCAGAAUAAGCCCCGGCUAACUUCGUGCCAGCAGCCGCGGUAAGACGAAGGGGGCUAGCGUUGUUCGGAAUUACUGGGCGUAAAGCGAGUGUAGGCGGUUGCCGUAGUCAGGUGUGAAAGCCUUGAGCUCAACUCAAGAAAUGCACUUGAUACUGGGUGACUAGAGGACCGGAGAGGAUAGUGGAAUUCCCAGUGUAGUGGUGAAAUACGUAGAGAUUGGGAAGAACACCAGUGGCGAAGGCGGCUAUCUGGACGGUUACUGACGCUAAGACUCGAAAGCGUGGGGAGCAAACAGGAUUAGAUACCCCUGGUAGUCCACGCCGUAAACGAUGGGUGCUAGACGUUGGCGAGCUUGCUCGUCAGUGUCGCAGCUAACGCGUUAAGCA